rnacentral:rRNA from 1 species
GUACGAAGGGGGCUAGCGUUGCUCGGAAUCACUGGGCGUAAAGCGCACGUAGGCGGGUCGUUAAGUCAGGGGUGAAAUCCUGGAGCUCAACUCCAGAACUGCCUUUGAUACUGGCGAUCUCGAGUUCGGGAGGAGGUGAGUGGAACUGCGAGUGUAGAGGUGAAAUUCGUAGAUAUUCGCAAGAACACCAGUGGCGAAGGCGGCUUACUGGUCCGGUUCUGACGCUGAGGCGCGAAAGCGUGGGGAGCAAACAGG